rnacentral:rRNA from 1 species
GUAGGGUGCGAGCGUUAUCGGAAUUACUGGGCGUAAAGCGUGCGCAGGCGGUUUUGUAAGACAGAUGUGAAAUCCCCGGGCUUAACCUGGGAACUGCAUUUGUGACUGCCAGGCUAGAGUACGGCAGAGGGGGGUAGAAUUCCACGUGUAGCAGUGAAAUGCGUAGAUAUGUGGAGGAAUACCGAUGGCGAAGGCAGCCCCCUGGGUCGAUACUGACGCUCAUGCACGAAAGUGUGGGGAGCAAACAGGAUUAGAUACCCUGGUAGUCCACGCCCUAAACGAUGUCAACUAGGUGUUGGGGGAGGAGACUUCCUUAGUACCGCAGCUAACGCGUGAAGUUGACCGCCUGGGGAGUACGGCCGCAAGGUUGAAACUCUAAGGAAUUGACGGGGACCCGCACAAGCGCGUGGAUUAUGUGGAUUAAUUCGAUGCACACGCGAAAAACCUUACCUACCCUUGACAUGGUCGGAAUCCUGGAGAGAUUCAGGAGUGCUCGAAAGAGAACCGAUACACAGGUGCAUGCAUGGCUGUCGUCAGCUCGUGUCGUGAGAUGUUGGGUUAUAGUCCCGCAACGAGCGCAACCCUUGUCAUUAAUCGCCAUCAUUCAGUUGG